GGACUACUGGGGUAUCUAAUCCUGUUCGAUCCCCACGCUUUCGCGCCUCAGCGUCAGUAUGAUGCCAGGUGACUGCCUUCGCCAUUGACGUUCCUUCCGAUCUCUACGCAUUUCACCGCUACACCGGAAAUUCCAUCACCCUCUCAUCUACUCUAGUCAUAUCGUUUGCGAUGCGCUUCCCAGGUUAAGCCCGGGGCUUUCACAUCACACUCAUACAACCGCCUACGCGCCCUUUACGCCCAGUUAAUCCGAUUAACGCUCGCACCCUCUGUAUUACCGCGGCUGCUGGCAC
rnacentral:rRNA from 1 species